ACGAACGCUGGCGGCGUGCUUCACACAUGCCAGUCGAACGGAAAGGCCCUGCUUUUGUGGGGUGCUCGAGUGGCGAACGGGUGAGUAACACGUGAGUAACCUGCCCUUGACUUUGGGAUAACUUCAGGAAACUGGGGCUAAUACCGGAUAGGAGCUCCUGCUGCAUGGUGGGGGUUGGAAAGUUUCGGCGGUUGGGGAUGGACUCGCGGCUUAUCAGCUUGUUGGUGGGGUAGUGGCUUACCAAGGCUUUGACGGGUAGCCGGCCUGAGAGGGUGACCGGCCACAUUGGGACUGAGAUACGGCCCAGACUCCUACGGGAGGCAGCAGCGGGGAAUAUUGCACAAUGGGCGGAAGCCUGAUGCAGCAACGCCGCGUGCGGGAUGACGGCCUUCGGGUUGUAAACCGCUUUCGCCUGUGACGAAGCGUGAGUGACGGUAAUGGGUAAAGAAGCACCGGCUAACUACGUG
rnacentral:rRNA from 1 species